rnacentral:rRNA from 1 species
GACGAACGCUGGCGGCGUGCUUAACACAUGCAAGUCACGGGGGCCCGCAAGGGUAACCGGCGAACGGGUGCGUAACACGUGAACAAUCUGCCUAGAUGUGGGGGAUAGCCGGCCCAACGGCCGGGUAAUACCGCAUACGCUCUUCGGGUGGCAUCACUUGAAGAGGAAACCUCCGGGGCAUCUAGAGGAGUUCGCGGCCUAUCAACUAGUUGGUGGGGUAACGGCCUACCAAGGCAAUGACGGGUAGCUGGUCUGAGAGGAUGGCCAGCCACAUUGGGACUGAGAUACGGCCCAGACUCCUACGGGAGGCAGCAGUGGGGAAUAUUGCGCAAUGGCCGAAAGGCUGACGCAGCGACGCCGCGUGGGGGAUGAAGCAUUUCGGUGUGUAAACCCCUGUUGCUCGGGACGAACAAGCGAUUUCGAUCGCUCUGACGGUACCGGGUGAGGAAGCACCGGCUAACUCCGUGCCAGCCGCCGCGGUAAUAC